rnacentral:lncRNA from 1 species
UGAGGUUCAAUAUUUGUUGCAAACUCUCGUGUUAUACUGUCUGUUUGAUGUAUUUCGGUUGGAGUAGCUCUUAUGAGCAAUUGUCGUGUUUCAGUUGGACUAACUCUUGUGAGCAUUUGGUGUGUUUUGGAGGGAUUGACUCAUAUGAGCAUCUAGCGUGUUAUGGUUGGACUCACGAUGUGCUCCUAUCCGUCAGUCAUUCUUCAAAUUGAAAACCUUGUUAAGGUAAUUUGUUUAAUAAAUUUGAUGGAUUUGCUAUAUGUUUUGAGUAUUGAAUUGAAAGCAUGAAAUUUAUCCGUUGAGAUUGUAUAUGAUAGGGAACCUUCAUGGUUGAAUUGUUAUUAUUUGAAUUGUUGUAUUUACUUCGGUAAGAUUUGUCAUCGUUUUAAUACGUCAAACUUACUAAGGUUCAUUUAAUCUUUGAUUUUGUAGAUGCUCGAAAGGUUGGACGAUCGG